GGAAGGGUAGCUCAGUGGUAGAGCGCCACCGUCCGGUGAGGGGCUUCCCUCGCCGACGCGGUGAAUACUCAAAGGCUUCGCGUGGUUCAAAUCCCGCCCCUUCCG
rnacentral:tRNA from 1 species